GUUUUUAUUCAGUCAACUGAGGCUCCUCUUCAGGCAUCAGCUGCAGUAGACAUCACUCAGCAAAAUGAUUCAACAAAAAUAUGGAAUGAAGAGCAAGGUUCCUUGAUAUCUUUUGAUGACAAUGGACCUGUAGCUCGUAAAGAAUCUGAGGUGUCAUUACUGUCAACAUCAAUCAAAGAGAUUGAAGAAAAAACCCAGGAGGUUUUGAACUUACAGCAGGAACUGAAUGAUGUGAAUGCUUCAUUAAAGGAAGAAAAAUGGUAUUCAGCAGCUUUGAAAGAAGAAGUUGAUAAAAUUACUAAAGAGAAAAAUGAAUUCCAGCAAAAGUGCAAAGAACAGAAAAAGGAAAAACAAGAAAUGGAAGAAAACUUCAA